AGAGUUUGAUCCUGGCUCAGGAUGAACGCUAGCGGGAGGCCUAACACAUGCAAGUCGAACGGGAUUGGUAGCAAUACCAUGAGAGUGGCGCACGGGUGAGUAACGCGUAUGCAACCUACCUGUAACAGAGGGAUAGCCCAUAGAAAUGUGGAUUAAUAUCUCAUAGUUCUAUUAGAUCGCAUGAUUUGAUAGAUAAAGCUCCGGCGGUUAAGAUGGGCAUGCGUGACAUUAGCUAGUUGGUAAGGUAACGGCUUACCAAGGCUACGAUGUCUAGGGGUUCUGAGAGGAUGAUCCCCCACACUGGUACUGAGACACGGACCAGACUCCUACGGGAGGCAGCAGUGAGGAAUAUUGGUCAAUGGGCGCAAGCCUGAACCAGCCAUCCCGCGUGCAGGAUGACGGCCCUAUGGGUUGUAAACUGCUUUUAUACACCAAGAAAAAUCCCCACGUGUGGGCCCCGACGGUAGUGUAUGAAUAAGCAUCGGCUAACUCCGUGCCAGCAGCCGCGGUAAUACGGAGGAUGCAAGCGUUAUCCGGAUUCAUUGGGUUUAAAGGGUGCGUAGGCGGCUUUUUAAGUCAGUGGUGAAAUCCUGCCGCUUAACGGUAGAAUUGCCAUUGAUACUGCUUUUCUUGAGUAUGGUUGAGGUAGGUAGAAUGUGUUGUGUAGCGGUGAAAUGCAUAGAUAUGACACAGAACGCCGAUUGCGAAGGCAAUUACUAAGCCAUUACUGACGCUGAGGCACGAAAGCGUGGGUAGCGAACAGGAUUAGAUACCCUGGUAGUCCACGCCGUAAACGAUGUUCACUCGCUGUUUGCGAUACACAGUAAGCGGCUGAGCGAAAGCAUUAAGUGAACCACCUGGGGAGUACGAUCGCAAGGUUGAAACUCAAAGGAAUUGACGGGGGCCCGCACAAGCGGAGGAACAUGUGGUUUAAUUCGAUGAUACGCGAGGAACCUUACCUGGGCUUAAAUGUAGAUUGCAUGANNNNNNNNNNNNNNNNNNNNNNNNNNGGUCGGUUUACAGGUGGUGCAUGGUUGUCGUCAGCUCGUGUCGUGAGAUGUUGGGUUAAGUCCCGCAACGAGCGCAACCCUCGUUCUAAGUUCCCACCAAUAAUGGUGGGCACUCUAAGGAGACUGCCGGUGAUAAACCGGAGGAAGGUGGGGAUGACGUCAAAUCAUCAUGCCCUUUAUGACCUGGGCUACACACGUGCUACAAUGGCCUGUACAAAGGGUAGCGAAGCCGCGAGGUGGAGCCAAUCCCAAAAAGCAGGUCUCAGUUCGGAUUGUAGGCUGCAACUCGCCUACAUGAAGUCGGAAUCGCUAGUAAUCGCGGAUCAGCAUGCCGCGGUGAAUACGUUCCCGGGCCUUGUACACACCGCCCGUCACACCACGAAAGUCUGCAACACCCGAAGCCGAUGUAGUAACCGUAAGGAACAAGUCGUCGAAGGUGGGGCCGAUGAUUGGGGUGAAGUCGUAACAAGGUAACC
rnacentral:rRNA from 1 species